GUGCCUCCCACGGAUGGAAACCUACAUCACGAAGAGUCAUCUCCAGCUGCUGAUGCCCGUAGGAUUUCCUUGGGCAGCUCCUUACAAGUUGAUAUUGUCCUAUGAAGGGAAAUUGAUGAAACAGUCGACUGAACUGAUGAAACAGUGGACUGAAGCUCAUCUGCCUAGGUCCAAGGAAUUGAUGAAUUGUUAGUUCCUGGAAGACAGCUGAUGUGCGCCACUCACCGGAGGGGAUUAAUGAAGCUUUUAUAGGUGGUGUCAUCCUUUUUUUGGUCAACUGACUGAUUCGGGCAAAUCUUGGAGAUUGGUGCUCAUAUUUUUGUUUGUGGGGAGUUCUUUACUUGACAAAUCCGUAAUGGCUGCUUGUCAGGAGGUCUCAUUCUUUGAGGAAGGAGAGCCUAAACUUGAUGGGAAACCUAGAGACUUUGAAGGUUUGCUUUGCCCCUUGGUUGAGAUUUAGCAUGGCAUUGAUGUGACUGACUUUUAUUUAUGUGUGCUGUGACUAACUCCGUCUUAAAGGAGUAACCUAUCGAGCAGUUAAUAAUUCGGACAUCACCGCAUGAUUGCUUCAGAAGUGAAAUCACCAACCUGCAUGAAAAAAAUAGAAUCCGCCUUGUAUAUUUCUAGAGCUUGUGCCCAAUUCUUCAGUU